rnacentral:rRNA from 1 species
CAGUAGCCGCGGGAAAACGAGGGGGGCAAGCGUUGUUCGGAAUUAUUGGGCGUAAAGGGCGCGUAGGCGGUUUGGCAAGUUUGGUGUGAAAUCUUCGGGCUCAACUCGAAGUCUGCAUCGAAAACUGCCGGGCUUGAGUAUGGGGGAGGUGAGUGGAAUUUCCGGUGUAGCGGUGAAAUGCGUAGAUAUCGGAAGGAACAUCUGUGGCGAAGGCGACUAUCUGGGCCAACACUGACACUGAGGCACGAAAGCGUGGGGAGCAAACAGGAUUAGAUACCCCAGUAGUCCCUGUCUCUUAUAC